UCCUAGGAUUCUAAGUAUGUGCUGCCAUGC
rnacentral:piRNA from 1 species